AUGUGUUUAUUACGAGGAAUUGUGUUGAUUCCAAGGAGUUGGUCAGUCGGCGGUGUUGGUGUAAGGUAUACAGUUACGUUUUGUAGUGGCUUAUACGUAUAUCAUAAUCGUGCGAAGACCAAAGAUACAAAUGUGUUACAGCACUUCACUUCAAGACGAAUGACAUCUUCAAUGAGAGGCUGGUGACCGCUGCUCGCGAGGUUCGUCCGACAGACUGGGCGAGUAUGCUGUUCCUCUCCCGACCAUGGUACUACUACUUUGUGUCGGUAGUGCUGCUCGUCAGAAUCACAACAGGUAGCCCAGUGCCAUCUUCAUCUGAGUGGACAGCAGAUUAUGAUGAUUGGGAUGUAACAGGAGGACGGGCAGGUUGGUAUAGUGUGCUCAGCAAUGGCUCAGUUCCUGCCAUACUGAUGCCCCAGAAUUACAGCCAUGACUUGCCACCCACACCUAGUCCAGAGCAAAUCAAGGAGAUGGAGGAGGAGACACAUCGGCAGUUUGAACUUCUCAAAAUCAAUUACACACGGCUCCUAGAUGAUUUAGAUAGUGAAUUAAAAGAAGAUCUGAGAAGUGGUCGACAUCUACCAAGGAUUGUGGACAAAGCUCUGAGAUUAUUCAACUUGAAACAAGUGGUACAAGAAGUAGAAACUAGUGUCAUGUCUAAAGUUUCAUGCACAGCUUGCAAAGCAGGUGUUGGACUGCUUCAGCACUACAUCCAUAUAGGAAAGACAAGAGAGGAUAUUGUGAAGAUUACAUAUCAGUUUUGUGUCAGUCUUAAUAUCCAGCCAGCACGAGUCUGUGAAGGGAUAACUGAAUUGUUUGGGGGUGAAGUUGUCUAUGUGCUCAAGAGAAUAAACCUUGGAGCAGAAGAAAUCUGCAGUUUUGUAAUAGGAGAUGCAUGUGGCGAUGUAUAUAACCCUUAUCAUGAGUGGAAAGUUGUCUUCCCUCCUGUGCCAAAACCUGUAGUUACUCCACAAGUAGCUCCUAUGCAUGGAGCACCAACAUUUAAAGUGCUUCAGCUUUCCGACACACAUUUUGACCCAUACUAUCAGGAAGGCACAAAUGCAGACUGCAAGGAGCCACUCUGCUGCAGACUCACUAAUGGACCUGCCCUUUCACCUCAAACAGCAGCCGGGCGAUGGGGAGACUACCGCAAAUGUGACACUCCCAGGCGAACUGUUGACCACAUGCUACAGCAUAUAUCUAGCACACACCCAGAUAUAGACUAUAUCCUGUGGACUGGAGAUCUGCCCCCACAUGAUGUGUGGAACCAGACGAGGGAAGAGAAUCUUAUGGUACUGAAAGAAACUGUAGCCCAGCUAACUAAAACCUUUCCUGGAAUUCCAAUAUUUCCUGCACUUGGAAAUCAUGAGAGUGCACCAGUCAACAGCUUUCCUCCACCAUUCAUUCAAAAUGACUUUGCUAUCUCAUGGCUGUAUGAUGAAGUGGACAAUCAGUGGAGACAGUGGUUGCCAUCAUCAGUAUCAAAUACUGUGCGCCGAGGCGCUUUCUACAGUGUCCUAGUGCGGCCAGGCUUCAGGAUCAUCUCCCUCAACAUGAACUACUGUAACAACAAGAACUGGUGGUUGCUGCUGAACAGCACAGAUCCAGCAAAGGAACUUCAGUGGUUCAUCUAUGAACUUCAGAGUGCAGAGUUCAGUGGUGAAAAGGUCCAUGUGAUAGGACAUAUUCCUCCAGGACACAGUGAUUGUCUCAAAGUAUGGAGUAGAAAUUAUUACCAUAUUAUUAACAGAUAUGAAUCAACAAUUACAGCUCAGUUCUUUGGUCAUACUCAUUUUGAUGAAUUUGAGUUAUUUUAUGAUCGCAAUGACUUAAGCAGGGUUACCAGCAUAGCAUACAUUGGUCCAUCAGUUACACCUUAUUAUGAUCUAAACCCUGGCUACAGAAUAUAUUACAUUGAUGGAGACCACAAGUCAACAACAAGGGCAGUGGUUGAUCAUGAAACAUGGGUCAUGAAUCUCAAAGAAGCAAACUUAUAUAAUUAUCCCAUCUGGUACAAGCUGUAUAGUACUCGAUCAGCCUAUCAGAUGUCUUCACUUUUACCCCAGGACUGGGACAACCUUCUCAACAAACUAGCUGGUGAUACAAAGCUUUUUGAUCUUUAUUACAAACAUUACUGGAAGAAUUCUCCAGUGAGGCCAACUUGUGAUGCUGAAUGCAAAAAACGAAUGCUCUGUGAUCUGAGAUCAGGCCGUUCACAUGAUCGCAAAGGACUCUGUCAGGAGUUGGAGAGCCGUAUUGAUGCUAACACACGAACAGGCUGGCGUGCGUGGAUCUACAAUGGACUGGCACUCUCGAGAUCUGUCUUUACAGCUAUCGUUUCGUUCUUUUCUGGCUGAAAGCUGGAAAUAUUUCCUUGGGGGACACUAAUCUUGGUCACCCUGCUGUUUCUCCGGGAAGAUGUCUGUUAUCAUGGCAAUCCCAUCCUUUACAUACAAAAUACCUAAGUUUGUCCUGGGACUUGGGUAAAUAUGAACUCUAAACAAAACAAUCAAUCAUACAAAUGUUAUUUAUCUAUGAUAGAGUAUUGCUAGUAGUAGCAUCCAGUCAGGUUGACACGAUAGCACAUUUGUGACUGAGAAAUCUUUUAUAGUGAUUUAUUGUUCUGGCUUCUGUUUUACAAAAGCCUGUGUAGAGUACUCAUUUUUAUUCUUCUUGUGAAAAAACAUGUCUACAGAUAAGAUAUUGACAAGUCUAGUUAAAGAGUGUAGAGUAAAUGUGUAGGAGCCAGGAACAAAAUGCAAAGAUCUCAAGUUUGAAAAAUAAACAUGGCACAUGAAUUGUAGCAAAUUUUUUAUUUACUGAAAGACUAACCAUAGAAUGCAACAGAAACUCAUUUAAUAUGUAAGAAAGGAGUAACUCCAAUUACAUUAUUAAAAAAGAAAUAUUUCAUUAUAAAUUGGUUGGUGGUUCUAUUUUUUAAACAAUGGUUGUAUUUGAAGUACUGAAGUCAAGAUGGCUUGAUUUCAUAUAACUUAAGUCAGUCACAUUAACUCCUAUAAUGCUUCUGUGCAUGUUACCUUAAAAUUUACCAGUAAUUCAGAAGCAGUUAUGACUGUUGAUAAGAAAGAACUUUGUAAGAUAGAAUUGCAGGAAAACUUUUAAGUGGAGAAUAGAGGAUCUAGGGUUUUUUAAAUUUAUUAUGUGGGUUAUAUAGGCAUUAAUGUGAAGGUUUAUGUCAAACUUCUUUAAAUGUGGAAAAUGUUUCAGAUGAGAUUGAAAACUUGCUUUGUUAUACUUUAUCUUAAUAAGCAUGGUGCAAAGGAAGUAUUUCAUGUUCAUAAAAAUAAGAGCAAUGGAGUGAAAUUUGUUCCUGGCUUCCAUUGUCCAAGUAGUGAGAGUGAGCAUGACAUAUACACUGACCUUGUAAUUAAAUUUUUCAUUUUUGUUUACUGCAGUUAAAUCAGUGAUUCUUAAAAAAAGCCCAUGAAUUUUGCUGUGUGAGUUGCACAAAGUGAAAACAAGAAGCCAAUGCAGUAGUUUAAAAAGUUAAUAUAAAAAUAUUACAUUAUUUACACAGAAAAGGAGAGGCAGGCAUUUUAAUAGUCUCAAAUUAUAUAACAUUACAAUUUGUUGGCAAAGAGAUGGGCAUUUUAUUUCUUACUGUCUUAAAGAUAUCAGUAAUGUAUACAUUUGCAAACAUAUAGUCUUGAUGGCAUCAUGACUUAAUCCAGCCUUCAUGAUUACAAAUAUGGUCAUACAGAAGAGGUAACAGUUUAUUGUUUUAUGUAAAGUUUUGUAUAAAUUUCUCAACUCAAUAUUUUCUCCAAAAAAAUAAUUGCAUAAUUCCUGAAGUGUUAACUAUGACCCAGUGGUAAACCAGGUUGCUGGCUGUAAAAAUCUGAUUCUGUGGAAAAGUCACCCCAGUUCAUACAUUCAGUAACACCUACCAGAGUUCAUUUCCCACAGUUCAUCUUGUACAAUUUUACAAUCUCCCAGCUGAGACUUGUUUGCAUUUGCUGCCCCUCACUCUCAAAUGAAAAAAGUUAAAUACUCUGUACAGCAUAAAAAUUAAAGCAAUUUUAUUUAGCCAAUUACACUUUCAAUCAAAUGACCUAUACCUGUCAGUCUAUAAUGAUAUUUUGUAGGUCACAAUUCUGUACGUAGUUCUUAUUAUACUGUAACAUUUUAGGUGUCUGUCCAAAAAAAAACUCCAAUCUGAUUAUGAUAUUUCACUUUCUUUCUAGUUUUAAAUCAAUGUUUUUCUUUUCUUUUCCUGAAAACCUGUUUUUAAGGAACACAUUCAAAACAAGCAUAUUAUCAGUUUUGUUACACAUCAUUAUCAUAACUAUAUCCAUAAUUAACUUCUGCCACAAAUGCCUUACCAGUUAAUAUGCAUUGCUUGUUGCACACAGUAAAUCGGUACCUUAUUUCACCUGUCAUAAUUUUUAUUCAACAUUUUCAAGUCCCAGACUGUACUUUUAUAUUUAUUUUAUUAACAAAAUGGCUGAAUAUCAGUAUUCUUCGUUUAUUUCCCAAUGGGUCUUUGCAUUCCUCAAAGCAGAAGUAUUACUGUUAAAUGCAAUUAACAAGGCUUUCAGUACUUGAUACCACACUUCCUGCAUCUGUGGUUCAGAUUACCUGUCAUCUUUGUCUCAUUUCAAUAGAGCAGUGUUCUGCAACUGAUGUGCCACAAGGUUUCAGGUGUGCUGCAAUUUUUUGCAAAACACUCCCACACAUACAUCCCAGUUCAUAGUAUAGUUUUAUUCAACAUGUGUUGUCUCGGUUUCAUAUCCCUGCAUUCUUAUAGAGCAAGGAUUUGUAUGUAGUUACAUAUUUAUGGCCAUGUAAAACAGUUUCAUACCUGCUUUUCUUGAGCAAAGUCUGUGGUGUGCCAUCAUGUGUCUUUGACAAAUUAGGGUGUGCUGCAAGUGAAGAAAGUUUGUGGAACACUGUAAUACAGUACAGUGGGCUUUAAUAAGAAUCACUGAUGUAAAUUGAACUGCAUGGGAACAAACUCACAUGGGUCAACAUACAUGUGCAUAUUAUUCAUUUUUUCAUUAAACCAUAAUUAUUGUAUCUUGGCUGUCGUCAGUGAAACUGAAGUCGUAUUCUGCUUAUGAUUUUGGCUUCAAAGUUCACAGGUUAAAACUAAGGACAUGGUUUUUUCUUCUUACAUUUUACUAAUUGACAUAAUAAAGUGCAUUUGCUCUUUUAACUCUGGAACUAAAUGAACAAACUUAAUCUACUUUAAAAUAGGUAUAAAUUUAUCCAUGCUUACAACUAGCAUAAUUACAAUAGAUGCCCUGGAAGUUUCAUCCACCUCUGGCUUGGUUUUUAUAUUUACUUUGUGAACUUUAAAACUGUAAGCCAGAUGUUACUUUAAACCAAAUGAUAUUACAGUCAUUUUAAAAAUGAAUGCUUUACCUUCAAAGGUGUUUUUACCAAAUUUUGUAUAUUUAUGCUUGUUUUGUUGUUGAUUUAAAAUGAGAUAUUUGAUAAUAAAAUAUUUUAUACAUUCCAUAAUUAAAACUGUGGAAGCAGUAUUACACUGGUCAAACAGUUCUUGAUUGGCAUUAUUGAGGAUACGUACCACUACUGGUGGCAGUAGUGAGUGAAGUUUAGGAAGCCUGGAAUCGCAGAUUCAAAUCUUGGUCAUCACUGACAUGCUAGUCCACAUUCUUAUGUAUCAUCCUGUGAUAACAGAGGCAUUACAAUAGCCUGAUAUUCAUUAAAAGUAACCCUGCUGUU